UCGGAUGUACACUUGUUAUUGCAGAGCAUAGUGUGAUUGAAUGAGUGCACUCAACAUUGUCCACUAUGGUUUUGGGCACCACUACAAAUGGCUGUCCCCUCAAAUAAUGCCCUAUUUAAGGGUACAGGGGACGAUUUCGGACACAGUCCAUGUUUGAAGUCAGCGUUAUGGAGUAAAGCAGGAGGAAGUUUGCAGGUGAAGUUACAAUGAAAACUAACCUGUUUCUGGGUAUCUUGUCUGACAACAUUUGGUGCAGAUAUGUAAAAAGAUUUAAUUGUAAAAAGGGAUGCUUAUAAGAGAGCCAUGCAGAGAGCCGCGAUCUGAAACUGCUGAGGCUGUGAAGGGUUUCGAUUAUAUUACCAGAUCAGCUGCUAUAAAAGACAAACUGGAAUCAGAAACAAGUGAAGAGGAGUAUGUUUUAAUGUUGUAUCACCUCUGUUAUAGAGAUUUUUAAAUCUGGCCUAUAAUAGAGGGUGAUUCGGUCAAUCUUGGAAGGAAAAUGUUAGCACCAUAUCCAUUCCAGGUGUCUAAUUUGUGCUUCCGUUGAGUCAUUCGUGCAAAAAUCUGUUUAUUUUUUAAUUGUUUCUGUUUUUUGGUAAAGCUGAAGGGUAUUUGUCCUAGUUGUCCUGGCAUACAAUAUUUUGCACAACUUCCCAUUUCUUUAAAUCUUUGCAACAGAGGUGUAGAGAGUGCAUGUUAGCAUGACCAUAAUAGACGCAUUCAUGGGAAAUACCUUAGGUUAAAAUAAACCACAAUUUCAUAUAUCAAUAUCAGUGACUUUGUGAUUGAACUCUGCUCACUGUAAAUUAUGUUUUUGGGCUUCUUCUAAUCUUACGUUCAGUGUAACUCAGAGUGUUAUAUAGUGACGUAAGAGGAUAAAAAUGGACACUCAUAUGUCAAGCUUGAUUAGGAUAUAGUCAAAAGGUAAAUUGAGAAGUCAACAAAAUUCUAAUGAAUAUCAAUGCAAAUUAUAAUACAUACUAUAUAUUCAAUCAUGGAUGCAAAACUGUUAUUUAUUGGUUAAUUUUAUAUAAGUUCUGUUUUCCCUUUCACAGAUCCUGUGAUAAAGCUGCCUUCAAAUACUACAGUGUCUGGAUUGCAAGCCCUCAGCUGCUCGUGCUCAAAGAAGUGACCCUCCACCUGAAGAUGAAGAUGUGACACUCUUCAGUUUCUUUUCUUUCUUUCUUAAACAUUUGUAAAAAAAAAAAAAAAAAAAAAAACUUCUGCACUUCUAUUAUUCACUU